rnacentral:rRNA from 1 species
UACGGGGGGGGUAAGCGUUGUUCGGAAUUACUGGGCGUAAAGGGCUCGUAGGCGGCCAACUAAGUCAGACGUGAAAUCCCUCAGCUUAACUGGGGAACUGCGUCUGAUACUGGAUGGCUUGGAUUCGGGAGAGGAAUGCGGAAUUCCAGGUGUAGCGGUGAAAUGCGUAGAUAUCUGGAGGAACGCCGGUGGCGAAAGCGCGCGACUGGACCUUUACUGACGCUGAGGCGCGAAAGCCAGGGGAGCAAACGGG